rfam:Medicago truncatula strain A17 chromosome 4, whole genome shotgun sequence.
UAAUAAGCAAAAAUUAACAUUUUAGAUUCAUUCAUGAAAUGAUGUAUAUAGUCUUUAUUAUAGACCACAUACAUCAUUUAAUGAAUGAAUCUAAAAUAUUAAUUUUUGCUUAUAA